UACGUAGGGUGCAAGCGUUGUCCGGAAUUAUUGGGCGUAAAGAGCUCGUAGGCGGUCUGUUGCGUCGGCUGUGAAAACCCGGGGCUCAACCCCGGGCCUGCAGCCGAUACGGGCAGACUAGAGGUAUGCAGGGGAGAACGGAAUUCCUGGUGUAGCGGUGAAAUGCGUAGAUAUCUGGAGGAAUACCGGUGGCGAAGGCGGCAUCCUGGACCGGCAUUGACGCUGAGGAGCGAAAGCCAGGGGAGCAAAGCGGG
rnacentral:rRNA from 1 species